GUGAUCACUUCAGCAGCACAUAAACUAAAACUGGAACGAUUCAGAGAAGAUUAGCAUGGCCCUUGCACAAGGAUGACAUGCAAAUUCAUGAAGCAUUCCAUUUUUUU
rnacentral:snRNA from 1 species